ensembl:piRNA 21ur-12087 ncRNA
UUAUUGCCACGUAGUUCUCAA